AGUGAACGCUGGCGAUAGGCCUAACACAUGCAAGUCGAACGGCAGCACAGUAAGAGCUUGCUCUUACGGGUGGCGAGUGGCGGGCGGGUGAGGAAUACAUCGGAAUCUACUUUUUCGUGGGGGAUAACGUAGGGAAACUUACGCUAAUACCGCAUACGACCUACGGGUGAAAGCAGGGGAUCUUCGGACCUUGCGCGAUUGAAUGAGCCGAUGUCGGAUUAGCUAGUUGGCGGGGUAAAGGCCCACCAAGGCGACGAUCUGUAGCUGGUCUGAGAGGAUGAUCAGCCACACUGGAACUGAGACACGGUCCAGACUCCUACGGGAGGCAGCAGUGGGGAAUAUUGGACAAUGGGCGCAAGCCUGAUCCAGCCAUACCGCGUGGGUGAAGAAGGCCUUCGGGUUGUAAAGCCCUUUUGUUGGGAAAGAAAAGCAGCAGGUUAAUACCCCGCUGUUCUGACGGUACCCAAAGAAUAAGCACCGGCUAACUUCGUG
rnacentral:rRNA from 1 species